rnacentral:rRNA from 1 species
AUUGAACGCUGGCGGCAGGCCUAACACAUGCAAGUCGAACGAGUGGCGGACGGGUGAGUAAUGUCUGGGAAACUGCCCGAUGGAGGGGGAUAACUACUUGAAACUGUCGCUAAUACCGCAUACCAUCGGAUGUGCCCAUAUGGUAUUAGCUAGUAGGUGGGGUAACGGCUCACCUAGGCGACGAUCACUAGCGGGUCUGAGAGGAUGACCAGCCAUACUGGAACUGAGACACGUGCCAGACUCCUACGGGAGGCAGCAGUGGGGAAUAUUGCACAAUGGGCGCAAGCCUGAUGCAGCCAUGCCGAGUGUAUGAAGAAGGCCUUCGGGUUGUAAAGUACUUUCAGCGAGGAGGCGUUACUCGCAGAAGAAGCACCGGCUAACUCCGUGCCAGCAGCCGCGGUAAUAC